rnacentral:rRNA from 1 species
GCGGUAUUUUGACCGUGCUAAGGUAGCAUAAUCAAUUGUUUUUUAAUUGAAAACUAGUAUGAACGGUUUAAUUUACUUAAUUAGUUUGUAAUUUUUAAUAGUAAGUUAAAUAUAAAGUAAGAAUUCUUUAAUAAAUUAGGGGACGAUAAGACCCUAAAAGCUUUAUGAUUGGCAUUUAAUUAGUGAUAGCGGUGUUAUUAAUUCACUGGGGCAGUGAGUUUAGGUAUAUUUAAGUAUAAUUAAAAGCUCCUUUAAAUAAAGAUUUCAUGUAUAAGUUACUUUAGGGAUAACAGUGCAAUAUAUUUGGGGAGACCAUAUCUAUAAAUAUGAUUGCAACCUCGAUGUUG